rnacentral:sRNA from 1 species
UAAUAAAAAAAGACCCGUCACGAUUCCUGUGUCAGGUCUAUGGGAAGGGCUCUUAUUGUCGAGCCGUGCGCUAAAAAUUGGCAUUAUGCAAGCAUUGAGUGCCUUACUUUUUAAGUGUAGUUCCUCUGCGCCGUUUUGCCAGUUU